UUCCUACGGGGGGCUGCAGUGGGGAAUCUUGGACAAUGGGCGCAAGCCUGAUCCAGCCAUGCCGCGUGGAUGAUGAAGGCCCUAGGGUUGUAAAAUCCUUUCGUUGGGGACGAUAAUGACGGUACCCAAAGAAGAAGCUCCGGCUAACUUCGUGCCAGCAGCCGCGGUAAUACGAAGGGGGCUAGCGUUGUUCGGAUUUACUGGGCGUAAAGCGCGUGUAGGCGGGCUGGAAAGUUGGGGGUGAAAUCCCGAGGCUCAACCUCGGAACUGCCUCCAAAACUUCCAGCCUGGACUCAAGCAGAGGCAAGUGGAAUUGCGAGUGUAGAGGUGAAAUUCGUAGAUAUUCGCAGGAACACCAGUGGCGAAGGCGACUUGCUGGGCUUGUAGUGACGCUGAGACGCGAAAGCGUGGGGAGCAAACAGGAUUAGAUACCCCAGUAGUCGA
rnacentral:rRNA from 1 species